AGAGCGAACGCUGGCGGCAGGCUUAACACAUGCAAGUCGAGCGGGCGUAGCAAUACGUCAGCGGCAGACGGGUGAGUAACGCGUGGGAACGUACCUUUUGGUUCGGAACAACCCAGGGAAACUUGGGCUAAUACCGGAUAAGCCCUUACGGGGAAAGAUUUAUCGCCGAAAGAUCGGCCCGCGUCUGAUUAGCUAGUUGGUGAGGUAAUGGCUCACCAAGGCGACGAUCAGUAGCUGGUCUGAGAGGAUGAUCAGCCACAUUGGGACUGAGACACGGCCCAAACUCCUACGGGAGGCAGCAGUGGGGAAUAUGGACAAUGGGCGCAAGCCUGAUCCAGCCAUGCCGCGUGAGUGAUGAAGGCCCUAGGGUUGUAAAGCUCUUUUGUGCGGGAAGAUAAUGACGGUACCGCAAGAAUAAGCCCGGCUAACUUCGCGCCAGCAGCCGC
rnacentral:rRNA from 1 species